GAUGAACGCUGGCGGCGUGCCUAAUACAUGCAAGUCGAGCGAACGGACGAGAAGCUUGCUUCUCUGAUGUUAGCGGCGGACGGGUGAGUAACACGUGGAUAACCUACCUAUAAGACUGGGAUAACUUCGGGAAACCGGAGCUAAUACCGGAUGAUAUUUUGAACCGCAUGGUUCAAAAGUGAAAGACGGUCUUGCUGUCACUUAUAGAUGGAUCCGCGCUGCAUUAGCUAGUUGGUAAGGUAACGGCUUACCAAGGCAACGAUACAUAGCCGACCUGAGAGGGUGAUCGGCCACACUGGAACUGAGACACGGUCCAGACUCCUACGGGAGGCAGCAGUAGGGAAUCUUCCGCAAUGGGCGAAAGCCUGACGGAGCAACGCCGCGUGAGUGAUGAAGGUCUUCGGAUCGUAAAACUCUGUUAUUAGGGAAGAACAUAUGUGUAAGUAACUGUGCACAUCUUGACGGUACCUAAUCAGAAAGCCACGGCUAACUACGUG
rnacentral:rRNA from 1 species